rnacentral:rRNA from 1 species
AACGAACGCUGGCGGCAGGCUUAACACAUGCAAGUCGAACGCAUCCUUCGGGGUGAGUGGCAGACGGGUGAGUAACGCGUGGGAACGUGCCCUUCAGUUCGGGAUAACCCAGGGAAACUUGGGCUAAUACCGGAUACGUGCGAGAGCAGAAAGAUUUAUCGCUGAAGGAUCGGCCCGCGUCUGAUUAGCUAGUUGGUAAGGUAAUGGCUUACAAAGGCUACGAUCGGUAGCUGGUCUGAGAGGAUGAUCAGCCAGACUGGGACUGAGAACGGCCCAGACUCCUACGGGAGGCAGCAGUAGGGAAUUUUCCACAAUGGGCGAAAGCCUGAUGGAGCGACGCCGCGUGCAGGAUGAAGGCCUUCGGGUUGUAAACUGCUUUUGUUAGUGACGAAUUUGACGGUAGCUAACGAAUAAGGACCGGCUAACUACGUGCCAGCAGCCGCCGUAA